UACGAAGGGUGCAAGCGUUACUCGGAAUUACUGGGCGUAAAGCGUGCGUAGGUGGUGAGUUAAGUCUGUCGUGAAAUCCCCAGGCUUAACCUGGGAACUGCAUUCGAGACUGCAUUGCUAGAGUAUGGGAGAGGGAAGUGGAAUUUCCGGUGUAGCGGUGAAAUGCGUAGAUAUCGGAAGGAACAUCAGUGGCGAAAGCGACUUCCUGGACCAAUACUGACGCUCAUGUGCGAAAGCGUGGGGAGCAAACAGG
rnacentral:rRNA from 1 species